rnacentral:rRNA from 1 species
ACUCCUACGGGAGGCAGCAGUAGGGAAUAUUGGGCAAUGGGCGCAAGCCUGACCCAGCGACGCCGCGUGAGGAAUGAAGGUCUUCGGAUUGUAAACCUCUUUCAGUAGGGAAGAAGCGAAAGUGACGGUACCUAAAGAAGAAGCACCGGCUAACUAUGUGCCAGCAGCCGCGGUAAUAC